rnacentral:rRNA from 1 species
CGGUGCAAGCCGGAGGAAGGUGGGGAUGACGUCAAAUCAUCAUGCCCCUUAUGACCUGGGCUACACACGUGCUACAAUGGAUAGUACAAGUCGCGAGCCGCGAGGUGGAGCUAAUCCCAUAAAACUAUUCUCAGUUCGGAUUGUAGGCUGCAACUCGCCUACAUGAAGCCGGAAUCGCUAGUAAUCGUGGAUCAGCAUGCCACGGUGAAUACGUUCCCGGGCCUUGUACACACCGCCCGUCACACCACGAGAGUUUGUAACACCCGAAGUCGGUAGGGUAACCUUUAUGGAGCCAGCCGCCGAAGGUGGGACAGAUAAUUGGGGUGAAGUCGUAACAAGGUAGCCGUAUCGGAAGGUGCGGCUGGAUCACCUCCUUUCUAAGGAA